rnacentral:lncRNA from 10 species
GAUAGACAAAAGGUGGAAGCAACCUCAGUGGCCAUCAAUGGAUGAAUGGAUGAACAAAACAUGGUCUAUACAUACAAUGGAAUAUUCAGUCUUAGAAAGGAGGGAAAUCUGGCCGGGCGGGGGCCUGCAGCAGCAGUUGAGAACGCCCCCAGGGCCGCUGGGCUCCUCCAGGACACACCUGGGGGAAACAAUCAAGUGCCAAGGGGAGCCUGGAAGAGAACAGGUGAGACGUCUGGAGUCCCACAGUGGGAAAAUAGAACAGGAGAAAGCUUCUCUUGAAGUGCUCACUGUACAUCAGGAACACUGCUCCCAUGACAGUGCCCUCGGGGUGGGAGGGGGUGCUGCAUUUCUGGCGACAGAGGGUGAGAGAUUGUAACUCAUAGUGGCCUCACAGGGCGAGGAGGGUCC